AAAUGAAUUGACGGGGGCCCGCACAAGCAGUGGAGUAUGUGGUUUAAUUCGAAGCAACGCGAAGAACCUUACCGGGUCUUGACAUCGUGCGCAUAAUGUAGAGAUACAAGAAGUGAACCUUUUAGGUUUACGCACAGACAGGUGGUGCAUGGUUGUCGUCAGCUCGUGUCGUGAGAUGUUGGGUUAAGUCCCGCAACGAGCGCAACCCUUACGCUUAGUUACUACGAAAGAGGACUCUAAGCGGACUGCCGUUGAUAAGACGGAGGAAGGUGGGGAUGACGUCAAAUCAUCAUGCCCCUUAUGCCCCGGGCCACACACGUACUACAAUGGCCGGAACAGAGUGAACCGAAGUCGCGAGGCGGAGGGAAACACAAAAGCCGGUCUCAGUUCGGAUUGCAGGCUGCAACUCGCCUGCAUGAAGCCGGAAUUGCUAGUAAUCGCAGAUCAGAAUGCUGCGGUGAAUACGUUCCCGGGCCUUGUACACACCGCCCGU
rnacentral:rRNA from 1 species